ensembl:lncRNA
CGGACCAAUUGUGCGCCGCCCUAUGGGACUCCCAAUACACAGCCGGUUGUGAUUACAGCCUGGAUUUGAACCAGAGGUGUCUGUAGUGACAACCUCAAACAGUGAGAUGCAGUGCCUUAGACCGCUACGUUACUCGGGAGCCCCAUUGCAGGGAUAUAUAAUACAAAUCAUCACAUAACUCAAACUAAAUGGUUUAUUUAUGAUUUGCUUCGUGGAAUCUACUACUGACAAUGUGUAACCGAUGUGAAAUGGCUAGCUAGUUAGCGGGGUGUGCGCUAAUAGCGUUUCAGUCGGUGACGCCACUCGCUCUGAGACCUUGAAGUAGUUGUUCCCCUUAACUAAGCUUUUGUGGAAUGAUGGGUAACGAUGCUUCAAGAGUGGCAGUUGUCUAUGUGUGGAGAGGGUCCCUGGUUCGAGCCCAGGUAGGGGUGAGGAGAGGGUCCCUGGUUCGAGCCCAGGUAGGGGUGAGGAGAGGGUCCCUGGUUCGAGCCCAGGUAGGGGUGAGGAGAGGGUCCCUGGUUCGAGCCCAGGUAGGGGUGAGGAGAGGGUCCCUGGUUCGAGCCCAGUU